CGGUGUUUAACUGGCGUGAUGUGGGACGUCCUACCGGUGGGCUUAGCCUCGCGAGGGGCGGCCCAACUAAUAUCCUGUCGCGGUGCUCUUUACUGAGUGUCGAGUCGGGCCGGUACGUUUACUUUGAACAAAUUAGAGUGCUUAAAGCAGGCUAUCCUCGCCUGAAUACUGCGUGCAUGGAAUAAUGGAAUAGGACCUCGGUUCUAUUUUGUUGGUUUUCGGAACCCCGAGGUAAUGAUUAAUAGGGACAGAUGGGGGCAUUCGUAUUGCGACGUUAGAGGUGAAAUUCUUGGAUCGUCGCAAGACGGACAGAAGCGAAAGCAUUUGCCAAAAAUGUUUUCAUUAAUCAAGAACGAAAGUUAGAGGUUCGAAGGCGAUCAGAUACCGCCCUAGUUCUAACCAUAAACGAUGCCAGCUAGCGAUCCGCCGAAGUUCCUCCGAUGACUCGGCGGGCAGCUUCCGGGAAACCAAAGCUUUUGGGUUCCGGGGGAAGUAUGGUUGCAAAGCUGAAACUUAAAGGAAUUGACGGAAGGGCACCACCAGGAGUGGAGCCUGCGGCUUAAUUUGACUCAACACGGGAAACCUCACCAGGCCCAGACACCGGAAGGAUUGACAGAUUGAUAGCUCUUUCUUGAUUCGGUGGGUGGUGGUGCAUGGCCGUUCUUAGUUGGUGGAGCGAUUUGUCUGGUUAAUUCCGAUAACGAACGAGACUCUAGCCUGCUAAAUAGGCGUACCUUAUGGUAUCGCGAAGGCCCCCGGCUUCGGCCGGUGGGUUUUUACUACCAACGUACAAACAAAUCUUCUUAGAGGGACAGGCGG
rnacentral:rRNA from 1 species